ensembl:lncRNA
GUGAACUCCAGGAGUUGGUGAUGGACAGGGAGGCCUGGUGUGCUGCAAUUCAUGGGGUCGCAAAGAGUCGGACACGACUGAGUGACUGAUCUGAUCUGAUCUGAUGUUUCCAUAUAAAUUUAAAAUUUUUGUUCUAGUUCUGUGAAAAUGUCAUUGGUAAUUUGAUAGAGAUUGCAUAUAUAAUGAACCCACAGCUAACAUCAUUCUCAACAGUGAAAAGCUGAAAACAUUCCCUCUAAGAUCAGGAACACAGACAUGAGGAUGGUGAGGAUGUCCACUCUCACCAAUAUUAUCCAGCAUAGUUUAGGAAGUCCUGGCCAUGGCAGUCAGAGAAGAAGAAAUAAAUGGAAUCUAAAUUGGAAAAGAAGAUAUUAAACUGUCACUGUUUAGAGAUAAAAUGACACUAUACAUAGAAAAUUCUAAAGAUCCUACCAGAAAACUGCUAGAGCUCACAGUGAAUUUGGUAAAGUUGCAGAAUACAAAAAUGAUAGAUAGAGAUCUCUUGCAUUCCUAUACACUAACAAUGAAAGGUCAGAAAGAGAAAUUAAGGAAACACCUUGUUGAUCAUCACAUCAAAAAGAAUAAAAUACCUAGGAAUGAACCUACCUAAGGAGACAAAAGACCUGUACUCUGAAAAUUGUAAGACACUGACGAAAGAAAUAGAAGAUGACACAAAUAGGUGGAGAAACACACCAUGUUCUUGGAUUGGAAGAAUCAGUAUCGUCAACAUGGCUAACGUGUGAUAUUCAGCAAUAAUUUGGAAACCCACACCUCAAAGGGUGAUAGGGCUCAAAGAGAUAGUGUGGGUAAAAUGACUGGCACAGACAGGACCUAGCAGGUGCUACCCUGGACCUGGCCUGAUGGGGCUGCUACUGUAGGAAGUACAGAUAACAAUCUGUGAAGAUAUUAUGAGACGAAGCAAAUACCACCUUCAUCAAACUUUCCCCCUAGAUUUAGCAUCCACAGAUGACUCUUGCUCUAAUCCGUCUUUACCACGUGGUUGCAAAAUGCUGAUUGUCUAACUUCAACACUCCCUGUACACUCACUUGUGGAUAGAAGAAUCCUUUUUUCUCCCAUUCAUUUAUCAUGUAUCUUUUUUUUAUGUCUUCAUAGAUAUCUUAUUUAAUAAAAAGGAUAUUUCAACAUGC